UACGGAGGGUGCUAGCGUUGUUCGGAAUCACUGGGCGUAAAGCGCGUGUAGGCGGCCCGAUAAGUCCGCUGUGAAAGUCCAGGCUCAACCCUGGGAUGCCGGUGGAUACUGUCGGGCUCGAGUCCGGAAGAGGCGAGUGGAAUUCCUGGUGUAGAGGUGAAAUUCGUAGAUAUCAAGCAGAACACCUGCGGCGAAGGCGGCCUUCUGGACCGAGUGACUGACGCUGAGACGCGAAAGCGUGGGGAGCAAACAGG
rnacentral:rRNA from 1 species